GGAGAAGUCGCAUAGCCCGGUCGAGUGCGGCACACUGCUAACGUGCUGACCUGUAAAAAGGUCCGUGGGUUCGAAUCCCACCUUCUCCGCCA
rnacentral:tRNA from 1 species